rnacentral:rRNA from 1 species
GAUGAACGCUAGCGGGAGGCUUAACACAUGCAAGUCGAGGGGCAGCAUAGGGUAGCAAUACUCUGAUGGCGACCGGCAAACGGGUGAGUAACGCGUAUGCAACCUACCCUGUACAGGGGGAUAACCCGGAGAAAUUCGGACUAAUAUCCCGUAAUAAUAUCCGGAGGCAUCUUUGGAUAUUUAAAGUUCCGACGGUACGGGAUGGGCAUGCGUAACAUUAACUGGUUGGUAAGGUAACGGCUUACCAAGGCUAUGAUGUUUAGGGGUCCUGAGAGGGUGGUCCCCCACACUGGUACUGAGACACGGACCAGACUCCUACGGGAGGCAGCAGUGAGGAAUAUUGGUCAAUGGGCGCAAGCCUGAACCAGCCAUCCCGCGUGCAGGAAGACGGCCCUAUGGGUUGUAAACUGCUUUUCCAGGGAGAGAAACUUACGCACGUGUUGCGUGACUGACGGUACCCUGGGAAUAAGCAUCGGCUAACUCCGUGCCAGCAGCCGCGGUAACUAGUCUACG